rnacentral:lncRNA from 1 species
AUUGGAUCAUGCAGGAAACCACAGAAAUCACAUUAUUUUGCAUUUUGGCUUUGGAAACAAGCCACGCUUUGAGUACACUCAGGAAGAAUUAGCAAAACUGAUCCUGCCAUAAACAAUACAACCCAAAGAGUUCUUUCCUGAGACUGAAAUUUUUGGCUCGGAAGAGAGAAGGAUGGUGAAGAAUACAGCUUAGGAGGUGAUCUAGCUGAGAAAGUUGCAGUUGGAUUAGAGUCAAAAGUUCCAGAGCAGCAGUCCCAAGGAAGAAGAGUAUGCAGAAAUGAGGCAUUUGGCUGCUUAAGAAAUCAAAAGACAGACACAAAAACAGGUUUGAAUAGAAGUCCACAUUCCAACAAACUCGUUUUCUUCACUAUCUCACUAUCUUUUGUGGAGAUUCAAAGACAUAGGAUUUUUUACUUACUGCUUGUAAAAAAAAAAAAAAUGGUAAAAUAAGAUAAAAUUGCGACUAUUUUUUUCUCAGAGCUUUAGCAAAAUGAACUUUACUUUCUAGAUGUUAUCUGUGGAGUUUACUCCCAUAUUACAAUGAAU